rnacentral:lncRNA from 1 species
UUUUUUAAAAUGUAAAUGGAGUAAAUGAUAAAAUGUAGACUGAAUUUAUCAUAAAGACAUUUUCUUUUGGUAUACUGCAAGGAACUAUGAACUUUUAGUAACUACUAUAAGCAACUGACAGGAAAAAAUGGCAACAGAAGAAGGAAAGAGGAGAGAAUGGGGAGCAGACACUAAGGUGUAGUGAAAGGAGGAAAAUGAAGGCUAAGUCUAAUGAUGUGAAUCCUCUUUGCAAUUCCAUCAAAGGAGGGAUCUUCCUACUGACCAGAAGACCUGAACAGCCUGAGAAUGAUUCCUUUCAACUCCGAGAGAAGAAGCUGCAGAUGAAGAGCAAGUAGGAUGGUGAAGUGCUUAAUCAGUGGCCAGGCAAUCAAUAAACACAACAGUCCUGGGAUACAUGUGCAGAAUGUGCAGAAUGUGUACAUAGGUACACACUACCAUGGUGGUUUGCUGCACCCAUCAACUCGUCAUCUACAUUAGGAUACUGUUUACUGAAAACCCACCAAUCUGAUCUUUUAUGAGAAGCUAGUCCCUGAAAAGGCCCUUGGAUCAAAGGUCAAAAACUUGAAGCACAGAGUGGGAUGUCAGAUGCCAAGAUUUAAAUCUAGUCAUUUGAUUCCAGAGCCCACAUUCUUAAAUAAUAUGCUACACUGACCUUUAUUGUCUUUAAACAUUAUCUUUAUUUAAUGUGUUUCAUAGAAAUUACUUCUCAGGUAUUCCUAAAUUUAUUUUUAAAAAUAAUGUCAUGCUAUCACUAUAAUAUAGUUUUUUAAAUUAACUUGAGAGGUAAUGUAGUAUGAUCAACUUCCUUAAUGGCCUUUUAAACUGGAAAUAACUAUUAAAUAUUUUAAUAUUAUAAAUUAACAGGCAAAAUGGUGAAAAAUCUAACAUCUGGUUCUUAAAAGUAAGUUGAAAUAUAAGAUCAGAUUUGAAUGCACAUGGAAAAAUAGAACUGGCAAAUAAUGCCAUAUUUGAAGAUCUUUUAGUAUUCUCUGGUAUUUUUCCUUUCAUUUCAAAAUUGUUAUAUUCUUUUUAAUGACUUCAAAUGAAUUAGGAAAUGUCAGGCUUCUAAAAAUCAAACAGAACGUCCAACCAGUAGAUUUCAUUCAGGGCAGUGGGAGCCUGUUCGGUUGUUUCCUCUUUCCCCCUCACUUUUAAAAAUCCUCAAUCACUGCCAUUUCUCUUCUCAGCUUUCACAACACUUUACAGGCAGCUGAAUGAAAGGGCAGAAGCUUCCUCUGAAACUCCUGUUAUUUCAGCUCUAAAAUCAGCUGAAAAGGAUGCCCUCCCCAGAGACAGAAAUGCAUUCCCUCCAUCAUGAACCUGCAAUGCCCUCAGGUUGUGGCAAGGGAGAAGUUUAGCACUUGAACCUAGAUAACGCUAUUUUUUUAAUCAAAGUGCACCAUUCUUGUUUCAUAUGGCCUGUGGCACAAUUUAUUUAAAACAAUAUGGUGCAUCAAAGAAGGUAAACAAUAAUAACAAUAAUAAUAAUAUAGGAAUAGCAAUGUGCACAUAAAUAAUAUAGGAAAACACAUGGCCUCAGUACCUUCAUGAAAUGGGACUUCAAUAUACAUAUUUCUUAUACAGCUUUAUGCAUGACUUCAUUGCACUUCACUGCUCUGUUGUGUCACUCUACCAAUAAACCUAUACAUCAUACUGAGUGAAGUAUGUUCACAGUCCCUUUACUUGACAAAAAAAAAAAAAAAAAAAAAAAAA